rnacentral:rRNA from 1 species
CGGUGGGAGCAUGUGGUUCAAUUCGAUGCAACGCGAAAAACCUUACCUGGGUUUGACAUCCUUUGACAGUCCCUGAAAGGGGAUCUUCCCGAUUUAUCGGGACAAAGUGACAGGUGCUGCAUGGCUGUCGUCAGCUCGUGUCGUGAGAUGUUGGGUUAAGUCCCGCAACGAGCGCAACCCUUGUCUUUAGUUGCCAAUAUUAAGUUAGGCACUCUAAUGAUACUGCCCCGGUUAACGGGGAGGAAGGUGGGGAUGACGUCAAGUCCUCAUGGCCUUUAUACCCAGGGCUACACACGUGCUACAAUGGGCUAUACAAAGGGCUGCCACUCUGCAAAGAGGAGCUAAUCCCAAAAAGUAGUCCUAAGUUCGGAUUGGAGUCUGCAACUCGACUCCAUGAAGCUGGAAUCGCUUGUAACCGUGGAUCAGCAUGCCACGGUGAAUACAUUCCCGGUCA